GAUGAACGCUGGCGGCGUGCCUAAUACAUGCAAGUCGAGCGAACUGAUUAGAAGCUUGCUUCUAUGACGUUAGCGGCGGACGGGUGAGUAACACGUGGGCAACCUGCCUGUAAGGCUGGGAUAACUUCGGGAAACCGAAGCUAAUACCGGAUAGGAUCUUCUCCUUCAUGGGAGAUGAUUGAAAGAUGGUUUCGGCUAUCACUUACAGAUGGGCCCGCGGUGCAUUAGCUAGUUGGUGAGGUAACGGCUCACCAAGGCAACGAUGCAUAGCCGACCUGAGAGGGUGAUCGGCCACACUGGGACUGAGACACGGCCCAGACUCCUACGGGAGGCAGCAGUAGGGAAUCUUCCGCAAUGGACGAAAGUCUGACGGAGCAACGCCGCGUGAGUGAUGAAGGCUUUCGGGUCGUAAAACUCUGUUGUUAGGGAAGAACAAGUACAAGAGUAACUGCUUGUACCUUGACGGUACCUAACCAGAAAGCCACGGCUAACUACGUGCCAGCAGCCGCCGUAA
rnacentral:rRNA from 1 species